UUUCUUGGCACCUACUGCUUUUCCUCUGUGCCACCUCCUUGGCGGAUCCAUUGGAAAAGGCGGCACCUGUGGAGAAUCCUAGACCCACAGCUAGAGUACUGACAUGAGUUCAACACUGCCUUUGGUGGACACCUGAGACUGGCACACAUGCAACUCAUUGAAGGCUCCCACUAACCCUGCAAGCCAGCCAUGCUUGCCUCUGCCACGGGCAUCCGUCUGCUCACCUGGAUUUAAAUGCUUGUUAGCCACCAGGCUGCUUCCUGGUUUUCUCACACGGUGUUCUCUGCCCUGUGCCAAAUUCCUCUCUGUGCAGAUGUUGGCAAGGAACGUAACACGCAACUUUCUUUUAUCAGUGACCUCAGAUCCUUUAUGGGGAAUUUGAAAAAAAAAAAAAAAAAAAGAACCUAAACAAAAGGAUCUGUCAACCUUAGCAGUUCACUGGGGAACUGAUGAGCUGGAGAAUCUGAGGCCCAAACAGGGGGAAAGACUCCCCCGGAGUCACUCAAACACCGCAGAAACCCGGCAGGCGUGAGAGCGCCCCAAGAGCGUGUCUGUUGGGUGGCACGAGCUAGAGCAGUGCGAGUCCCCCUGUCAGGGGCUGUGGGUGUGAACACUUCGUGGUGUCGGCUGUCUGGACAAACAUAGCUCAGCCUCUCUGCAGCUCAGCUCCUCUAGCUGUGGGGCUCAGGGCAUCCUCUCUACACAUUUGGUAACAUUGUACAUCCCAUAAGACAGCCGAGAGCCCAGAGAGCCCAGCCCCAGGGGUCCUUUGCCAAGAGUGUCUUCUUUCCUGGGAUCAGGCGUUUUUCUGGGUGAGGGAGGAUGCUCCAGAGAAUAACCCCACCACUGCCCAGGGACACUAAACUGUUGGCUCUUUCUGGCAAAAGGUUUUAGGUAAGGCCACAAGCAGUCGCCGGAGCAGCUAUCCUUCUGCUGGUUUAGUGGGCGUAACGGGGAAGGAAUCCUCCCUCCCAUCCCAGCCAGGCCCUGGGCAAGGUGGGAGGAGCCUCCUAGGCAGAUUGUCUUUAUCUCCGGACUCUGUCCACACUCCUCUUCUCCAAAGCGCGCCAGGGCCUUGAGGAGCAGGGCUCAAAGCCAGCUUGAGUCCCUGACACACACCCACGCACACCCACUCACACACCAGGCCUCAUUGCCACUAAUCUCUUGCUACAACUGGCGAGGGUCAUUGUCUACUCAACUGUUGCCCUAUUUUACUCCCCAAAGUAGAGUGAACUUACUGAGCCUUGUAUGUGAAGUGCCUUCCAAAUUAGCCUUGUUAACCCCUACUGUGAAGGAGAGAAAUUAUACCUGGAGUGGGGAAGGGGAGCCGGUUAAGGCGACCUAGAUAAUUUCUGUUCUUUCUUUUUUCCAGGUCCUACGCUCAGCUGAGUAAUUUGUUAUUCAUUGAGUCUUUCUGUAGCUUAUUAGGGGGUCACAAUUAUUGUUAUCAGAGACCAGGGUUGGAUCAUAGGUGGGUGGGAGUAGAAUGAAUUUGGCUUUUUUGAUUUCUGUUACUACACAUUUUUCAUAAGCAUUUACUGAGGCCCCACUAUGCGCCAGCCACCGUUUCGAGCACUCUGAAAGAUUCCGAGGUGAAGGAGCGUGUCCCCACCCACCCCAAGGAGCUCCCAGUCCAGCGGGAGCCUGAUGCUGCCAACGGCGGAGCCGGGCAGUGGGCGCAGCAGGGGGCCAGAGCCCAGCGUCCAGCAAGCACCAUGGUCUUCCUCAUUCCCAAGCUCUACCCUGUAUGUUUCCUAAAAGGAACUCAUUUAAUAUAAAAGUUACUUAAGAUAAUUCCGGCAAACUUUCGAAAUCAAAGCUAGAGGGAAGCGCAAACGGCCUAACCACACAAGCUGAGACCAUGGUGGUUCUGCAUGGAGCGCUGAGCUUCCUAGAGGCCAGCGGCUGCGACCCCAGGCCCUCCCGGCCCCCUGGGAGCAGAGCGCGCGGUGCGCGGAGAGGAGGCCCGCGG